rnacentral:lncRNA from 1 species
CCUCUCUCAGGUAAACACCAUCGGCACCACCGACGAGCCGCCGGCAGCACAGGUAAGUACCCCCAUCUCUCUCUCUCUCUUCUCUUCUCGGAACAUUGUUCCGACGAGUUUCUGUCUCUUCCGGUGGUCUCUCUUCGACACCUCCGACACCAUCGAGACACACAACGUCAGGCGCACCCUGCCUGCGAAUUUCGUCGCCGGAAGCUGCCCCACGCGCCGCCAGUGAACCCACGCGCCACGCGCGUGAACAGUGUUCCGGCCACUUUUUCAACCGGCUUCUUUUGGACAGUUUUUUCCCCUUAUAAUUCCGACCAACUUGGUACUUUCGGAAUAUUUCCCUGCUCACUUUCAUUUUACACCCUUGCCUCUCAUCACUUCAAUUGCGCCCCCGAGGAGACAUAUGGUCGCUUCUCUUUGUUAGCUUAACUGCAGCUUUGGACGUCAACUUCAUUUCACCUGCAGCACUCAGUUGCUAUUGUUUAAGUAAAUUACACUCUUUAAGUUCUUCUUUUUCUGUCCUCUUUCUUGUUAUUGUUGUUGUUUGUGCAAUUUGUUACUCUUUGAUGAAAUCUUGCUUUCGUAUCCAAACCCAUCUGUAAAUUUUCCGUCUUUAUACUGAUAAAAAAUCUGGAGCAUAUCGAUUCGCGUUGUAGCUUCUGUUUUAUUAGGGUUUAAGAGUUUGUCCUUUUCCAAAAAUUCUUUUUUAAAUACUUAAUUUCUCUUCAGCGG